rnacentral:sRNA from 1 species
CUCCAUGUCCCCACCCUUCUCACUGCUGUAGCUUCAGGGUAGAGGAGCCACAGAGCCAAAUGCUGCACAGACCAAGGGAGAUGAAAGGAUGUCGCCUCCAGAGCUGGGGCCACGGGCAGCGUCAGGGCAGGUUCAUCACUGAUGGCAAGUCUGUGACUGACCACGUUCACAGGGGUGGCCCCGAGCAAAGGUCGGACAUGAGAACCCAGGAGAAUUCAGGCCCUGGCUCUGGGACGGCUGUGCACCCCCACCCUGGCUAUGGCUGGCACCUCAGAAGGCACAGCUGUCCUUCACUCACAGAGGAAGGGCAACUCGAGGAGGCACAUUUUAGGAAACUGCCCAUGGAGCCAGCUUCGAUUCUCCAAACCUCAUCAGCCUGCACUGGCUGCCAGCUUCGAUUCUCCAAACCUCGUCAGCCUGCGCUAGCUGCCAGCUCCCUGACUCGGCAGCAAGGAGGGCCUCAGCAGCCGACCCCCAUGCCCGGCACCCCCUUCACCAGUGGGUAAACUAUGCUCACCACCACUCAGCACUCACCUCUUGGGCUCAGAGGGCAGGGAGUCUGACCCUUCUCUCUUAAGAGCAGGGUCCUGAAAACUCCAAAGAGCAGUGCCCUGUGCAUUAAACACAGACUGCGCCCUUGUACUCAGGAGGAUGCAAUUCUCUCUCUAAAGUCGAGAGCUCACCACCCCGGGCGUUAGUCACUGCAGACAUCAGACAUCACUGCAGACACAGAGAUGGCCAUUAUGCAGCCUCACGUGGUCGCUCCUGGGGGCUGUGGGAUAUUUGAUCCUAAAGAGAAAACACCUUAAAUUCACGUGUCAUCCACCCCCAUGGCGACUCUUAACACUUUAAUGUAGCACCUUCCAACUUUUCCUGGGCAUUUAUGUACACAUUUUAAAUAAAAUUAGGUUCUUACUGCAUACACUGCUUGCUGGUUUUUAAAUAAAAUUGGGUUCUUACU